CACAAAAAAAUAUUACCGUAAUGACAAAAGUAACUUAUUUUUGAUUUAAAAAGUUGCUAAAAUUAGCUUGAGGGAAAGUUUUUUUCUUGUUUAAAAUAUGAAAACUUUUACUGGUAAAGUUUUUGAAAAUCUCCUUACUAACUGAUUUAAAAGUCUUAACUUUUAAUACGACUGUAGAAUUUCUUUCAUUUUGACGUUCUCGUGUACCCGUGUACGACUAAGUUCCAAAUGUAAACAAACACUUUGGUGGGUUCGGUGGUGCUGGUGAUUCUAGGCAGCAGCCAGGAAUCGGGCGCGGAAACCUUCGUGAGCCAAACAGCAGCAGCGGAACGCCUUCGAAGGAUUGUGGUGCGGGUGCGGGACGAGGUGAAGUGCUCAAAAAGGACAAGGCGAGCUUCCUGCAGGAACUGCAGCGGUUCCACGAUCGGAAUGGGAUGGGAGGUAGGAAUGUGGAUUCGCACCGGUUGUAUUCGGUGGUGGUGGCCCGGGAUUGGUGAUUGAAGGUCAAUUCCCGCGAGGACUGUAACGAGAUCAUCGAGGAGAUGGCGCUGCCGAAGAGUUGCGUGAACAACGAGAUUGCGCUGAAGAAGAUAAACAUCCGGUUUUCAAGUACGAGACAGGUGAUUUUCACGGUGAGGAGAAGGAGCCAACGAAGAGGAGGACGUCGAGAAGCGGGACAAUCGGAGGUAGCCAGAGCGAAUGUUGCACUCGGUGCCGGCGGUUUACAACACCUCAAAUAACCGCCCACAAACGCUCAUCUCGCGAUGGCGCAGCUCCAGCCGAAUGAACCCUGGACAGCGUGCCGAAAAAAUCUGUGUCAUUCUCGAAGGAGGAUGAAGUGCUCGAAAUCGAAUUCCGUUCCGAGGGCCUCAUCAACCCAAUCUUCCGGAUGCGCUUCCAGAAUCGGGAACUCCCCGUUCAGGCACAUCACUUUCCAGCCAGGAAACGUCGAUCACCCUUGCCGAAUCUCAAACAAAUUCUCCAAACCUGUCCUGAUGAAGGCCGGCAACGUGACCAUCCUGUUCUCUACUUUGCUG